UAUCACAUGUACACAGUAUAUCACAUGAAGUAUACAGUAUAUCACAAGUACAUAGGGUAUCACAGGUACACAGGAUACAAUAUAUCACAGGUACACAGUAUAUCACAUGUAGUAUACAGUAUAUCACAGGUACACAGUAUAUCACAUGAAGUAUACAGUAUAUCACAGG